UACGUAGGGUGCAAGCGUUAUCCGGAAUUAUUGGGCGUAAAGAGCUCGUAGGCGGUUUGUCGCGUCUGCUGUGAAAACCCGAGGCUCAACCUCGGGCCUGCAGUGGGUACGGGCAGACUAGAGUGCGGUAGGGGAGAUUGGAAUUCCUGGUGUAGCGGUGGAAUGCGCAGAUAUCAGGAGGAACACCGAUGGCGAAGGCAGAUCUCUGGGCCGUUACUGACGCUGAGGAGCGAAAGCUAGGGGAGCAAACGGG
rnacentral:rRNA from 1 species